rnacentral:rRNA from 1 species
GACGAACGCUGGCGGCGUGCUUAACACAUGCAAGUCGAACGGAAAGGCCCUGCUUGCAGGGUACUCGAGUGGCGAACGGGUGAGUAACACGUGGGUGAUCUGCCCUGCACUUCGGGAUAAGCCUGGGAAACUGGGUCUAAUACCGGAUAGGAGCCAUUUUUAGUGUGAUGGUUGGAAAGUUUUUUCGGUGUAGGAUGAGCUCGCGGCCUAUCAGCUUGUUGGUGGGGUAAUGGCCUACCAAGGCGGCGACGGGUAGCCGGCCUGAGAGGGUGGACGGCCACAUUGGGACUGAGAUACGGCCCAGACUCCUACGGGAGGCAGAAGUGGGGAAUAUUGCACAAUGGGCGCAAGCCUGAUGCAGCGACGCCGCGUGGGGGAUGACGGCCUUCGGGUUGUAAACUCCUUUCGCUAGGGACGAAGCUUUUUGUGACGGUACCUAGAUAAGAAGCACCGGCUAAAUACGUG